CUGCACCCAAGGCUGAGACGGAAACCAGAGGGAUCUCGUGGGAGAAAAAGCUGUUUUCCUGCUCCGAUUCUUGCUGGGAACUGCACCCCCAUCCCACUGGACACGUACCUUGUGAUGCAAAUAGCAUAUGUCCUCCUGCUUAAUACUUCCGGGUGAGAUUGGCCGACAUGGUGCGUGCAGCCAUGACUUCAUCAUUCCUGUUCCGAGGACGCCAGUGUACUCAUGUAUUCUACAGCUAGUAGACAUCCGGAUGUUGUCAGUUUGCUGCUCAGAAAGUUCCCCGUGCAAGUCCCCUCUAUAAAAACACACAGCCUCCCAACAGGACCUCCUGACACUGCAUCUCAGGUGGCCAGGAUCGUCAUGGCAAACCACUGGAGUGACCUUGUCCCCAGCAGCUCAUGCCACCGUAUGGCUUACUCCGAGCAAUGGGACUUCAGCAAAUGGAAUAGUGAAACUUAGUGAGUGCUCCCUUACUGGAACGUGUCCUCUUGAAAGCUGCUCAGGGACAAGGAUGGUGUGAAAGUGGACGAGCUUCUGCAGUCACUACGAGUAGACCCAGGCAAGCAGCCUUGUCCUGCAGCCAGUGAACCUGGCAGAACUGCGGUGUUUUCUUCUGUUAUGCAGCAGUACAUAAGGGAAACAGCGGCCUUGGCUGUUGGUGGGUCUCUGUGCUUCCUGCUGGUUCACAGCCUGCCUCCCCAACGCCCCGCUCCAACCCACCUGUCCUGAUGAGACCACGGGCAUCUCUGCCAGAGGCUCCCACCGGUGUCUGUAUGUCCACUUCCAAUCCACUCUCUGUUUAAAUUCAAAGCGCAGAAAAGUACACAGAAAAAUGUAACAAGCUCCUCGGUGCUCAACAGAUUUUAAAAAUGUCAUUUGUUAUUUCAUUUCAGGUUGUUUUGAGUAUGAAAGAAAUAACAUGUGUAUGUUUUAAAGUUCCCUUUGAGCCUUUCUCCAGGUUCCUCUCCCCGGGAGGCACCCCACUGGAAACCAGCCUCAAAACCCUGGUGUUGACAAAGAUUCUCCUUGACCGAACUUAGGACAGGCUCCUCUGAGCCCACUUUCUGGCCAGUCCCACACUUGUCCCGUCAUGACCCUGCUUAAUCCAGCUGUAGCAAGGAUCCUGGAUACGUCAGUUAGGAGGGAAUCCUUCCACCCCUGACAGCUGAUCACUCUGGGCUGUCUUCAGCAAGGAGCCUAUUAACUCAGGUCAUCAAAAAUCCCCCACCCUUGACGGCCCCUGCCAUGUUCAGAGCCGAGUUCAGUCUUUCUCCCUUGUUGCAAAAGUCUUCAAUAAAGACUUCCUUUCCUUUUU